AGUAACACGUGGAUAACCUACCUAUAAGACUGGGAUAACUUCGGGAAACCGGAGCUAAUACCAGAUAACAUGUUGAACCGCAUGGUUCAACAGUGAAAGACGGUCUUGCUGUCACUUAUAGAUGGAUCCGCGCCGCAUUAGCUAGUUGGUAAGGUAACGGCUUACCAAGGCGACGAUGCGUAGCCGACCUGAGAGGGUGAUCGGCCACACUGGAACUGAGACACGGUCCAG
rnacentral:rRNA from 1 species